CUGAAAGUGAGGAGGAUGUUAUAAGAUGAGACAGUGAGGCAUUCAUGCUGUGAAGGUUUAGCCAACAAAGAACAAAGGGAUCCAGGGAAGGGGCCUGAAUGCCCCAGGAGGCAGAGUCAUGAAGAAGAAGUUCUACAGAGGGAGCCAGUGAGCAGCCUUGACCUCCUGAGGCCUCACAGACUCACUGCAAGAGCGGCUUCUAGGCAGUGAAGCUAAGCUGCGUCCUGGAGGGGGCGCCACAGUCCAUCAUAUGCUCUGGGAACAAAAUGGGGUUAUGAUCGUGUGUGAGCCUGAACGAACAGCCCAGAGACUUGCUGGGGUCAGACUUAGUAUAUCAACUGCCUGAGAUGCUCAGGGACCCUUCUCUAGCAACGGUUCAUGGCGGGCACCUUGGCUGGUCUGUCUUUCCAAUUAUCGGAUUCAGCUUCAGCAAGAGUCCUAAGGACUUUCUGAAUUUUCAGCCCAUAUGACAUGGAAGAAGAGUUAGAAGGGGAAUCUGACUGCUUGGAUCAGGGACUGUCUGGCUGGUGGAACUUGAAUGUGCUGUUGUCCUCUUUCUGGACCUUAGAGAUGUACAGUGCGCCACUCUGAGGAUCAAGUCUGACCCUG
rnacentral:lncRNA from 1 species